AAAUCUGGGAAAGGAAAGAAAUAACUUCUUCGUGGACAUGGACUCUGCUGGCACAGUUUAACCCUACUGCCCCACUCAGUCUGAUACAUCUGCAUAAACUUUAUACUCUUGCAGAAUGGGUAUUUUUAAGGAUUUCUGUAGCCAAUAAUCACAGUCCUGCUGCAGCCAUUGCUGGGUUAUUUUCCCGAGCUGCCAAGGAUCCAACUGUGCUCAUUUGGGAUUUGUCUGCAUGGAGUUUCCUGUAAGAUCGAGACUUUUGCUGCUUGGAAAAAAGAGAGUCCAAUUCAUUAUGUUUGACUGGCACCUAGGAAAAUGAAGCUUUAACUGAGAAUUCUGCUUUGCAAGGAGCUGUGCCAAGUGACAUGCUUAGUGAACUGUGCUACCCUGGAUAAUUAAGAAGAGCUAAACUCUGGGUUUGUUACAACAGCUUUAGCUGCAGAGCUAUUAUUGACACUGUGUAAGUAUCAACAAAAUAAUUGCCCAGCGAUCAUACUUCAACUUUUAUUUCUGAAAUGCAUUAAGUGAACUACUUCUAAUGCUAAUGUCUCUGAAGAUUAAUUAAGAGGGUUGGAGAGGAAAUUUUUUUUAAAAUACAGUUCAAGAAGUAACUUUUUCUACCAGAUGUUUCUAAUGUAGCUCUAAGAAACCAAGUGUCACAUCACCUAAAAAUUAGAUUUGGCUCAGUGGGAAUUUCCAGUACAAUUUUGUUUUCUUCAAAAUUAUACCAGUUAGUGAAGAACAGAAAAAAAUAGCUUUUCUUUGAUGACAUCACUGCUACAGUUUUCAAAAACAUUUAGAUAGAUAGCAGAUAGUCUGACUGUUAUGAAUUUCUCAGUGUGCUUUUGACUUCGGUGUAUUUGAGAUAAUAUCACAUCUAUCACAAAGAGCUUGACAGAGAUGCUUUCUCUUCAAUUCUCCCUUUACAAACAGGAUUUGAUCUACUUCCUCUUCUCCCCUCUGAGGCCAAGGAAAUUCUUUCUGUUCACUCUUCAAGCAUCCAAGUGUAUGUAAAAAAUUAUUUUUGGUGUCAGGUAUGCACUGAUGUUUCUCUGAAUAAGCAUUUUGUGCUAGAAGAAAUAAAUUAAAUACUAUAAAAUGAAUAAUGCUCCCAGGAUUCCUUCUGCUGCUUAGCCCUCCAUGCAAGUGGUGCCAAGCCUGAAAGGUAAACUAGAGUUUUCCCAGCUUGUUAAGCUGAGUCCUGAAACCUUCUGUGU